GGAAAAGGUGUCGAGUGAAGUUGCAGGGAUAUAAGACACCGUACAUGUUGUGGAAUAUUUGUACCUCAAUAUAUGUGUCAUUGUAUGCAAUGUGUAAAGUCAGCCCUUCGUAUUUUACAGAAGAAAGAGUUGCCAAAUACUCGCCCUCAUUUGAAUGUGUGACUCGGAGGAUGUCUCAGCCACGACCUCUGCCAUCAGGAAGCACUCCAUCAGACCCGCCAAGAUCUCAAGAAACAUUUGAUUAUCUCUGGCAGACCCUGAGAGGUGUCACUAGUUAAGGGCACUCUUGGUGCAGCUAACCCACCAGUUCAUAUGACAACGAGGAGUCAUUAGGUGUAUGUGCCAGAGUUCCAGGGUUUACCAGUGACGGCCUUCCCAACGUAAUGCAGCAUCGUUUGUCCACCUUCGACUGUUUUGCCAACACUAUAGCGCUGUCUUUAAUAAAA